UACAGAGGUCUCAAGCGUUGUUCGGAUUCAUUGGGCGUCAAGGGUGCGUAGGUGGCGCUGUAAGUCGGGUGUGAAAUUUCGGAGCUUAACUCCGAAACUGCAUUCGAUACUGCGGUGCUUGAGGACUGGAGAGGAGACUGGAAUUCAUGGUGUAGCAGUGAAAUGCGUAGAGAUCAUGAGGAAGACCAGUGGCGAAGGCGGGUCUCUGGACAGUUCCUGACACUGAGGCACGAAGGCCAGGGGAGCAAACGGG
rnacentral:rRNA from 1 species